GCCGCUGGAGCCGUGCCUUUUGGAGAUGGCAAUCCAAGCAGAUGGGAAUUGCCACGUUCUUCCAGAUCAUCGUCGGCGAAAUGUUCUUCUACGCCAUCAAGCACGACAAACUGAAGCACCACAGGAACUACAA
rfam:Aedes aegypti strain Liverpool supercont1.45 genomic scaffold, whole genome shotgun sequence.